rnacentral:lncRNA from 1 species
AGGAAAAAGAUUAUAUAUGCUUUUAAUGUUCUUUCAGAAAAUUAAUAAUCUUAACUCCUCUUGAUGAACAUAAGUUUCUAAAAACCAAGAAAUGGGUAAUCCAAAACAUAAUGGUUUUACUUAUAGCACUAAGAACAAACAAUAUAUUCUUUUAUUUAUUUAUAUUCUUAAAGAAAAACAAAUUAAGUGGGAGUGGGACUGUCGAAAUUCUAAGCUCAUAUAUAGAUUCCUAAUCAGAGUCUCAUUAGGAUUAAUUAUCAAACUACAUAAUGUAAACUCAAAAUUCUCCUUUCUUAUAACUUAUGUUUGAGAAAAAUUAUAUUCUAUCAUUUUUUUUAAUUUCUUAGAUCAUGUCAAGCGAAGUUAUGAAAAAAAUUAAGCGUGGUCUAGGCAGACCACCAAAGAAUAAAUCAAAAAACAAAAACCUUCAAACACUUAUUAUAAAACAAAAUCCCAAACAUCCAUUAGGUUUUGGAGUAGCUGCUGAAGUUUCGGCACAUUGGCAUCAAAAGAAAAAAAGAACUAAAAGAGGAGAUCGUGAGAAAUUUGCUACAUCUUCAUCACCGUUCUUGUUCAAAAAUUGCUCAUCAUCUUGGUUGAAGGAUUUUGAGAUUCCGGGACCAGUACCACCUUAAUGAGUUGAUUACAGGUCAUAGUUAGUCUCUUUGCAAAUUUCUUUGAUGACUUACCGGAAAUUGAGGAUUAAUUGAUGUAAUUUUCAUUAUCAAAUUCAUAUAUAUAAUUCUCUUAAUCCUCUAUAGAUUGGAACAUGCAUGAGUAUAGUUGUUAAUUUUCUUGUUUGGACCCAAAAUUUUGUAAAUUCAAAUUUGCUGAACUUUUAUAUACACAGAGUUGCAUAAUCAAUAACAUUAUUUAUUUAUUUAUUUAUCGUUAUCGAUCUGAAUUCUGAACUUUAAAAAAUGAUAUUAAAUAAUGUCCGAAAUAGAGAAUUAAAAAAAAAAAACCUUGUAUAUUCGUAUGUUAAUAUUCUCAAGUUCCUAUUCAAGAGGGAUUUAAUCAGUUUAAAAAUCUCAACCUUUUUGAUAUAUAAUGAAAUUAACUAUACUCACGUUAGUGACUCUUGGAUUUUUACUGCACUUAUACUUGGUUGGAAUAUAAGCUGCUUCUAAUGGGUCAUUUUAUGAUGCGAUAAUUUUAGUACUGUAUUUAAACAUCAAUUAUAUAAAUAAAACAUAAAACAUAUGUCUAGGGAUAAAAAAAGGAGAUUAAUUAAUUAAGAAAAUGUAAUUGUUGGUAGGAUUUGCUGGAGAGUUACGUGCACUCCUCAUUUUUCUCCACCAUCCAUCUUACUUGCAAAAUGCAAUGGCCAAACUAUCCUCACCAAAGCCUAGACAUUUACUUGUGUAUUCAAAGCCCAUUCUGGGAAGACAAGCAUAACAUUAUAAAAGAUAGUGAGCAGAAGGAGGGGAAAAAUGGAGAAUCUAAAACGGAAGUGGGGCGUUGCCUAUGCCAACGUGGCUACCUGCUUCUUUGGAUGUUUCUUUUUCAAGCAGAAGGAUUCGGCCAAGCUAAAAAAGAAAUUCAUUCUUCGUAUUUGUAUUUGGUUUUAUUUUUGAGCUUUUAAUCUCUAUUUUUUGUUCUAAAUAGAAAUUAUUUAUUUUUAUUCUGGUAAACUCAUAAACUGACUUAAGCGUUGGAGAGUUAUUGCCGGAAAAACUUUCGACACCUUUUACCAUUCUUUGUAAUUUUAAGCUUUCUUGAGUUAUUUAGUAGUGGCCGCAGGGCAUUCUUAAUGAUUGACAAGUUGUUCCACCACCACAUAAAUUUAAUGUUGAUGCAUGAAUAUGAGAUUUGAAUCAUUAACCAACUCAAGCAUAUUUCGGCAUCAACAACAUAUAAAUUUAACAUAAACUUAUAAAUCAAUAAUAUACAUAAAAUAAAAUAUAAAUUAUGUAAAUAAAGCAUGAGACUUAUAAAACAAAGGUAAAAUAAGUAAAUUAAUAUAGGGUUGGUAAAUUGGUGUAUCAAUGAUAAAAAAUAAAAAAUAAAAACUUACAAAUAUAAUAUAAAACUUAUAAAUCAACAAUAAAUGUCAAAUAAAACAUAAAUUAAGUAAAUGAAACAUAAGACUCAUAAAUGAAGGGUAAAACAAGCAAAUUAACAUAAAAAUGAUAAAUUAGUUUAUUACUAGAAAACAAAAUAAAAACUUAUAAACAUAUUAUAAAACUUGUACAUCAACAUUAAGUGUAAAAUAAAAAAUAAAUUAUGUAAAAGAAACAUAAUAUUGGUACAUUGGAGGGUAAAACAAGUAAAUUGACAUAAGAGUAGUAAAUUGAUGCAUUAUCAAUAAACAAAAUAAAAACUUACAAUGUGUAACAUAAAACUUGUAAAUCAAUAUUAAAUGUAAAAUAAAGCAUAAAUUUUGUAAUUAAAAUAUAAGACUUGUAGAUGAAAGGUAAAAGAAGUAAACUAACAUAAAAGUGAUGAAACACUACAAGAAAAAUGAUAUUUUAUCACAAAAAAUUAACACUACAAGAAAAAUGUUUUUCGUCAUGUUGAAAAUAUGAUUUUGUGAUAAAAUCAUUGCCUUAAAAUUAAGUUAAAAUUGUCACAAAUGGUACUUAAAAUGGUCAAAGUAGAGAUUUAUAAAUGCGAUCAAUGAUACUUCAUAUUUGUCACAAUAAGUAAUUUAUAGUGACUAUAAUAUUUGUCUCAAUAUGUUAUUUAUAGUGACUAUAAUAUUUGUCUCAAGAAUGUGUAAAUAUAGUCUCAAUAAUUACUAGAAAUCUUCAUUUUAGAGGUUCGAAAAUACAAUUAGCAAUGCUACUUUUUUUGUUGUUGAAGUUUACAUAUCGUGAUAUUACAUAAUCGUCUCAAGUAUUUGUUAUUUAUGACAAUUUUUGCAAAUACAAAUCGUAAUUAAUUUAGUCUCAAAUUUGUUUUAAGGACAAUUUAUAUAGUCCCACAUAAAUUUUAAUAACAAUAUGUAGUCAUAGAAUUAAAAAUUUAAUGAAAAAAGAACUUUAAAGUGAAAAAUAUUAUUAACAUAAAUGUAAUCCAUCACAAAGAGAUCUAAAAUCUAAAAAGUAAAAAAAAAAAUCAAUAGUCUAAAAAUAAGAUUACAUUGUAAAAGAAAAAUAAAAGUAACAUUAAUCAAAAGGAAAAUUAAGUAAACAUCGGUUGUUGUUUCAUAAAUGCUUCAACUUCCUUAAAUUUGCUAUCUUGUUUCUUAAUUUUAAUUUUUUUAUCCUUGCUUUGCUGAGACAAUGUUGCAGCAAAUGAUGAUUUUGAAGGUACUUGUUAUUUUUUUAUCUUUA